rnacentral:ncRNA from 1 species
UGUCUUCAGGGCGGGGCGAAAUUCCCCACCGGCGGUAGAGCCCGCGAGCGUAACGGCAGUAUAUAAGCCGUAAAGCAUGAUCCGGUGAGAUUCCGGAGCCGACAGUACAGUCUGGAUGAGAGAAGAGA